GAGGAACCCUGGCGGCGCGCCUAACACAUGCAAGUCGAACGGAGCUUAAAGAGCUUGCUUUUUAAGCUUAUUGGCGAACGGGUGAGUAACGCGUGAGUAACCUGCCCUAGAGUGGGGGACAACAGUUGGAAACGACUGCUAAUACCGCAUAAGCCCACGGUGCCGCAUGGCACUGAGGGAAAAGGAUUUAUUCGCUUUAGGAUGGACUCGCGUCCAAUUAGCUAGUUGGUGAGGUAACGGCCCACCAAGGCGACGAUUGGUAGCCGGACUGAGAGGUUGAACGGCCACAUUGGGACUGAGACACGGCCCAGACUCCUACGGGAGGCAGCAGUGGGGGAUAUUGCACAAUGGGGGAAACCCUGAUGCAGCGACGCCGCGUGGAGGAAGAAGGUUUUCGGAUUGUAAACUCCUGUCGUUAGGGACGAUAAUGACGGUACCUAACAAGAAAGCACCGGCUAACUACGUGCCAGCAGCCGCGGUAAAACGUAGGGUGCAAGCGUUGUCCGGAAUUACUGGGUGUAAAGGGAGCGCAGGCGGGAAGACAAGUUGGAAGUGAAAACCAUGGGCUCAACCCAUGAAUUGCUUUCAAAACUGUUUUUCUUGAGUAGUGCAGAGGUAGAUGGAAUUCCCGGUGUAGCGGUGGAAUGCGUAGAUAUCGGGAGGAACACCAGUGGCGAAGGCGGUCUACUGGGCACCAACUGACGCUGAGGCUCGAAAGCAUGGGUAGCAAACAGGAUUAGAUACCCUGGUAGUCCAUGCCGUAAACGA
rnacentral:rRNA from 1 species